UUGUUAGAGAACAAGGGUACUGAGCGUGACCAAGACAAGAAGUCACUUGGAUGUCUAUCCACUCGUCAGUGACUUACUUGAUGUUGCAGUAGUAUGACUGGUCCUUUGACCUGCGGUGCUUCGGCUACUCACAGUGAGGUUAUUGUAGUUUGACUACACAUACACAUGGUCUCUAGUCAUAUGGGUCCUUGUAGUGUAGAUUGGCUGCAGUAGGUUCACUGUAG
rnacentral:lncRNA from 1 species